CUCCAAAAAGUGCUGGUUGUAUUUAAAAAAAUACAAAAAGUGGCUUUGGUUACACUAGUUCUGCUGCAUUGGAAGAAAAGCUUUCACGUGUACUGGUACUCUACUGAAUAAAUACUAGAUAAUAUCUACGAAAUGCAUAUGCAUAAGAAGAAACUAGUGCUCUGCUUUUCUCAUAUGAAGCAGGUACAAUAACACUUCCAGGACAGAGCUACCUGCAUCUGCGGUGAAGUGUGCACAGAGGAAUCUCAGCGGCUGCACAGUGAUGAACGCCUAGGUCUUGGCUUGUAGUUCUAUUAGUGGCAACAGUUCAAAUGAAAUUACAGCUAUUAUGCUGCAUUGUAAGUAAUAAACAAUUUACUUCUGCUGAAAUUCCUACUGACAGC